rnacentral:rRNA from 1 species
UUCGGACUGAGUGGCGCACGGGUGAGUAACACGUAACUGACCUACCCCCAAGUCGCGGAUAACUGGCCGAAAGGUCAGCUAAUACGUGAUGUGAUGUCCCCUUUCUGGGGGGCCAUUAAAGGUUUACUGCUUGGGGAUGGGGUUGCGUUCCAUCAGCUAGUUGGCGGGGUAAAGGCCCACCAAGGCAACGACGGAUAGCCGGCCUGAGAGGGUGGCCGGCCACAGGGGCACUGAGACACGGGUCCCACUCCUACGGGAGGCAGCAGUUAGGAAUCUUCCACAAUGGGCGAAAGCCUGAUGGAGCGACGCCGCGUGAGGGAUGAAGGUUCUCGGAUCGUAAACCUCUGAAUCAGGGACGAAAGACGCGUAAGCGGGAUGACGGUACCUGAGUAAUAGCACCGGCUAACUCCGUGCCAGCAGCCGCGGUAAUACGGAGGGUGCAAGCGUUACCCGGAAUCACUGGGCGUAAAGGGCGUGUAGGCGGUUAUUUAAGUCUGGUUUUAAAGACCGGGGCUCAACCCCGGGAGUGGACUGGAUACUGGAUGACUUGACCUCUGGAGAGGGAACUGGAAUUCCUGGUGU